rnacentral:rRNA from 1 species
ACGAACGCUGGCGGCGUGCUUAACACAUGCAAGUCGAACGGGCCCGCUCUCUUUUUUGGGGGUGGGUUGAGUGGCGAACGGGUGAGUAUCACGUGAGUAACCUGCCCCCUGCUCCUGGAUAACUGCUUGAAAGGGCGGCUAAUACGGGGUGUGCCGGCUGGUCCGCAUGGGCCUGGUCGGGAUAGUUUCAUCUUCGGGUGUUUCGGUGGGGGAUGGGCUCGCGGCCUAUCAGCUUGUUGGUGGGGUGAUGGCCCACCAAGGCGGUGACGGGUAGCCGGCCUGAGAGGGUGGGCGGCCACACUGGGACUGAGACACGGCCCAGACUCCUGCGGGAGGCAGCAGUGGGGGGCAUUGCACAAUGGGCGGAAGCCUGAUGCAGCGACGUCGCGUGAGGGAUGGAGGCCUUCGGGUUGUGAACCUCUUUCUCCGGUGGUGAAGGCCCUGUCCGUUGCGGCGGGGUUGACGGUAGCCGGGUAUGAAGCGCCGGCUAACUACGUG